GGAAUAUUGGACAAUGGGGGGAACCCUGAUCCAGCGACGCCGCGUGAGUGAAGAAGUAUUUCGGUAUGUAAAGCUCUAUCAGCAGGGAAGAAAGAAAUGACGGUACCUGACUAAGAAGCCCCUGCUAACUACGUGCCAGCAGCCGCGGUAAAACGUAGGGGGCAAGCGUUAGCCGGAUUUACUGGGUGUAAAGGGAGCGUAGACGGUAGUGCAAGUCUGGAGUGAAAGGCGGGGGCCCAACCCCCGGACUGCUCUGGAAACUGUGCGACUAGAGUGCAGGAGAGGUAAGUGGAAUUCCUAGUGUAGCGGUGAAAUGCGUAGAUAUUAGGAGGAACACCAGUGGCGAAGGCGGCUUACUGGACUGUAACUGACGUUGAGGCUCGAAAGCGUGGGGAGCAAACAG
rnacentral:rRNA from 1 species